GCGGCCCGGGUCACUCCGCCAGUUCCGAGGUGGUGUCGGACCCGCGCAGCGCGGGUUCCCCUGCGUACAGGGGAUGCUGGAGAAGUGAGAGGCUCCAGACCACAAAUGACUUUCAUAAGCAAUGAAAUUUUACGACCA